CUACCAUCUGAAUGUCUCAACAGAAAUCGAGACUCAUCAGACCAGGCAACAUUCUUCCAGUCUUCAACUGUCCAAUUGUGGAUGGUGUCAUGGACCUCUAACUCAAUGCAUGGAGACGAUUUGGGAACAAUGAUGUGAAGUGAAACCUUUUGCGACCAUUUCCUUCGGCACUUUCUGGGUUCCAGAACCUGAUUCAUGAAUGUUUCUUUGGGGGAGAUGGUAGAAGGCCUGACCUUGUUAUGUCUGGAAAACAUCAACGAGGGUGAUGGAGCUGGAUGCUGAUGACAACCAUCACAAAUUCAUAUAUUUGGAUGAGGCAGGCGAGGAGAGGUCGAGGCCCUGGCCAAGACAGCGAGGAGAUGUCGGAAUUUCAUUGGCAAGCUGGCAACCAUCCAAGUACCUGGACAACGUGUGGCCAACAUUACCAUGUGUACGGCUAUAUCAGAAGAUGGUGAGGUGAGACGCAGACCUCGUAUUGGAUCAUAUAAUGCAGCUCUCCUUGUAACCUUCCUUGAUGUGCUUGAUCAGGUCUGUAGAGCUGAUGGCGUGACCUAUGUCAAUGUGUGGGAUAAUGUCAGGUUCCACCAUGCUCAUAUGGUGCAAGCAUGGUUUCAGGCCCAUGCACAAUUUACCACCCUGUAUUUACCCCCAUACUCUCCUUUUCUUAACCCGAUUGAGGAAUUUUUCUCCACAUGGAGAUGGAAGGUUUAUGAUAGGCAACUCAUGAACAAGUCACUCUUCUCCAGGCCAUGGAUGAUGCAUGCAAUGAUAUCACGGCAGAGUAGUGUCAGGCCUGGAUUCGCCAUGCCUGAAGGUUUUUUCCAAGAUGUUUGGCUAAUGAAAACAUCCAUUGUGAUGUAGAUGAGAACCUGUGGCCAAAUCCACAAGACAGAGUUAAUGUACAAGUACAGUAAUCACUCCUAUGUUAUGGUUUUUACAGUACAAGCAAGCAAGUUGAGGAACAUUGCAUUUGAUGUUUUACAGUACUGUCUUUUCUAUUUCGUAGCUAAUUAUUUUGCUUUGAUUAAAUUAACGUUUCAAUG
ensembl:lncRNA